AAGUCGUAACAAGGUUUCCGUAGGUGAACCUGCGGAAGGAUCAUUAUCGAAUAAACUUGAACAGGCUGUUGCUGGUCCCUCGGGGUAUGUGCACGCUUGUCUCAUCUUUGUUAUUUUCUCCCACUUGUGCACCUUUUGUAGACUCUGGAGCUUUGUGGAUUUUCUGAAAAUUCGAGUCGGGACUGCCGUGCUUUGUUGUGAAGUCGGCUUUGCCUUGCAUUCUCCAGGUCUAUGUCAUUUUCACAACCUCUUGAAACAUGUUUAGAAUGUUGGAUAAAAAUGAAAUAUACAACUUUCAGCAACGGAUCUCUUGGCUCUCGCAUCGAUGAAGAACGCAGCGAAAUGCGAUAAGUAAUGUGAAUUGCAGAAUUCAGUGAAUCAUCGAAUCUUUGAACGCAUCUUGCGCUCCUUGGUAUUCCGAGGAGCAUGCCUGUUUGAGUGUCAUUUAACUUCUCAACCAUGUUGGAUAUUUUUUUCAAUGUUGGCUUGGAUGUGGGGGUUGUUUGCAGGCUUUUGUAACAAAAAGGUCGGCUCCCCUGAAAUAUAUUAGUGGUAUCUGAGGCUAUUGCUAUUAGGUGUGAUAAUUAUCUAUGCCUUUUGGGUAUGCCGCAUGAACAGAUUAUGCUGCUUCUAACGAAAACUAUUUUGAUGAAUUUGACCUCAAAUCAGGUAGGACUACCGCUGAACUUAAGCAUAUCAAUAAGCGGAGGAAAAGAAACUAACAAGGAUUCCCCUAGUAACUGCGAGUGAAGCGGGAAAAGCUCAAAUUUGAAAUCUGGCGGUUCUUGAACUGUCCGAGUUGUAAUCUAGAGAAGCGUUGCCUGUGCUGGACCGUGUACAAGUCUCCUGGAAUGGAGCAUCACAGAGGGUGAGAAUCCCGUCUUUGACACGGACUGCCUGUACGAUAUGGUGCGCUCCCGAAGAGUCGAGUUGUUUGGGAAUGCAGCUCAAAAUGGGUGGUAAAUGCCAUCUAAAGCUAAAUAUUGGCGAGAGACCGAUAGCGAACAAGUACCGUGAGGGAAAGAUGAAAAGAACUUUGGAAAGAGAGUUAAACAGUACGUGAAAUUGCUGAAAGGGAAACGCUUGAAGUCAGUCGCGUCGGCUAGAAAUCAGCCUUGCUUUUGCUUGGUGUACUUUCUGGUUGACGGGUCAGCAUCAGUUUUGACCAUUGGAUAAAGUCGUUGGGAAUGUGGCAUCUUAGGAUGUGUUAUAGCCCAUUGUCGCAUACAGUGGUUGGGAUUGAGGAACUCAGCACGCCGAAAGGCCGGGUCUUUUCUGACCACGUUCGUGCUUAGGAUGCUGGCAUAAUGGCUUUAAUCGACC
rnacentral:rRNA from 1 species